rnacentral:rRNA from 1 species
AGAGUUUGAUCCUGGCUCAGAACGAACGCUGGCGGCAGGCUUAACACAUGCAAGUCGAGCGCCCAGCAAUGGGAGCGGCGGACGGGUGAAUAACGCGUGGGAAUAUGCCCUUUGGUACGGAACAACUCAGGGAAACUUGAGCUAAUACCGUAUGUGCCAGUAAUGGGAAAGAUUUAUCGCCAAAGGAUUAGCCCGCGUCCGAUUAGCUUGUUGGUGAGGUAAUGGCUCACCAAGGCACCGAUCGGUAGCUGGUCUGAGAGGACGACCAGCCACACUGGGACUGAGACACGGCCCAGACUCCUACGGGAGGCAGCAGUGGGGAAUCUUGGACAAUGGAGGAAACUCUGAUCCAGCCAUGCCGCGUGAGUGAUGAAGGCCUUAGGGUUGUAAAACUCUUUCGGCGGGGACGAUAAUGACGGUACCCGCAGAAGAAGCUCCGGCUAACUUCGUGCCAGCAGCCGCGGUAAUACGAAGGGGGCUAGCGUUGUUCGGAAUUACUGGGCGUAAAGCGCGCGCAGGCGGCCUUCCAAGUCAGGGGUGAAAGCCCAGAGCUCAACUCUGGAAUUGCCUUUGAAACUGUUAGGCUUGAGUACGGGAGAGGUGAGUGGAAUUCCCAGUGUAGAGGUGAAAUUCGUAGAUAUUGGGAAGAACACCGGUGGCGAAGGCGGCUCACUGGCCCGUAACUGACGCUCAGGCGCGACAGCGUGGGGAUCAAACAGGAUUAGAUACCCCCGUAGUCC